ACAAAUUCUAGUCUUAUCGGUGGAUCACUCGGCUCGUGGAUCGAUGAAGAACGCAGCCAACUGCGAUAAUUAGUGUGAACUGCAGAAACCUUGAACACAGAACUUUCGAAUGCACAUUGCGCCAUUGGAGUGACAUCCAUUGGCACGCCUGGUUCAGGGUCGUAAC
rnacentral:rRNA from 1 species